UUAAGUUAAUAAGGGCGCGUGGUGAAUGCCUUGGCACUAGGAGCCGAUGAAGGACGUGACUAACUACGAUAAGCUUUGGUGAGCGGUAAGUACGCUAUGACCCAAAGAUUUCCGAAUGGGGAAACCCAACUCGUAAGAGUUGUCUGUAUCUGAAUACAUAGGAUAUUUGACGGAAUACGCUGUGAACUGAAACAUCUCAUUAGCAGCAGGAGCAGAAAGAAAAAUCGAUUCCCUAAGUAGCGGCGAGCGAACGGGGAAGAGCCCAAACCAACGUGCUUGCAUGUUGGGGUUGUAGGACUGAUAUAUAAGAGUUACAAAAGUGUUUUAUAGCAGAACAAGUUGGGAAACUUGGCUAUAGAGGGUGAUAGCCCCGUAAGCGAAAUGAAGCACACUCUUUUCAGGAUCCUGAGUACGGCCGGACACGUGAAAUCCGGUCGGAAUCUGCGGGGACCAUCCCGUAAGGCUAAAUACUCCCUAGUGACCGAUAGUGAACCAGUACCGUGAGGGAAAGGUGAAAAGCACCCCGGAAGGGGAGUGAAAUAGUUCCUGAAACCACGACGCCUACAAGAAGUCAGAGCCCGUUAAUGGGUGAUGGCGUGCCUUUUGUAGAAUGAACCGGCGAGUUACGGUAUCGUGCGAGGUUAAGGUGGAAAGACCGGAGCCGCAGCGAAAGCGAGUGUGAAUAGCGCGAAUAGUACGAUGCUGUAGACCCGAAACCAAGUGACCUACCCAUGGUCAGGAUGAAGGUGAGGUAAAACUUACUGGAGGUCCGAACCGGUGCAUGUUAAAAAAUGCUCGGAUGAACUGUGGGUAGCGGUGAAAUUCCAAACGAACUUGGAGAUAGCUGGUUCUCUCCGAAAUAGCUUUAGGGCUAGCCUCAUUAUAAGCAUACUGGAGGUAGAGCACUGUUAAGCCUAGGGGCCCAUCUCGGGUUACCAAAGUUUGAUAAACUCCGAAUGCCAGAUAUGUAUGAAUGGGAGUCAGACGAUGAGUGAUAAGAUCCACCGUCGAAAGGGGAACAGCCCAGAUCGCCAGUUAAGGUCCCUAAAUAUAUGUUAAGUGGAAAACGAUGUGAUAGUGCAUAGACAACUAGGAUGUUGGCUUAGAAGCAGCCACCAUUUAAAGAGUGCGUAAUAGCUCACUAGUCGAGUGCCAUUGCGCGGAAAAUGUACCGGGGCUAAACAUAUUACCGAAACUGCGGGUGCACGUAAGUGCGCGAUAGGAGAGCGUUGUAAGGGCGACGAAGGUAGAUCGUAAGGACUGCUGGAGCGCUUACAAGUGAGAAUGCCGGUAUGAGUAGCGAAAGACAGGUGAGAAUCCUGUCCACCGAAUGACUAAGGUUUCCUGGGGAAGGCUCGUCCACCCAGGGUUAGUCGGGACCUAAGGCGAGGCUGAGAAGCGUAGUCGAUGGAUAACAGGUUGAGAUUCCUGUACCAGUUGUAAUGCGUUAUUACCGAUGGAGGGACGCAGGAGGCUACCAGAUGCGCACUGAUGGAUAUGUGCGUGCAAGCAGUAAGUCUUGAAAAGAGUGAAAUGCUUUUUUCUAUAAGGACAAGCUGUGAUGCGGAUCGAAAUAAAGUAGAGAAGUCUGAGACGUCACACUGCCGAGAAAAGCUUCUAGGAAGUAUUACACUGCCCGUACCGCAAACCGACACAGGUAGUCGAGUGGAGAACACUAAGGUGAGCGAGAGAACCCUCGUUAAGGAACUCGGCAAAAUGACCCCGUAACUUCGGGAGAAGGGGUGCUCAUGGUAAAACAUGAGCCGCAGUGAAUAGGCCCAGGCGACUGUUUAUCAAAAACACAGGUUUCUGCAAAAUCGUAAGAUGAAGUAUAGGGGCUGACGCCUGCCCGGUGCUGGAAGGUUAAAAGGAGUGCUUAGCUUCGGCGAAGGUACGAAUUGAAGCCCCAGUAAACGGCGGCCGUAACUAUAACGGUCCUAAGGUAGCGAAAUUCCUUGUCGGGUAAGUUCCGACCCGCACGAAA
rnacentral:rRNA from 1 species